rnacentral:rRNA from 1 species
AUACGUAGGGGGCGAGCGUUGUCCGGAAUUACUGGGCGUACAGCGCGCGCAGGCGGCUUGUUAAGUCAGGUGUCAAAAUGCGGGGCUCAACCCCGUAUCGCACUUGAACCUGGCAGGCUUGAGUGCAGGAGAGGGAAGUGGAAUUCCUAGUGUAGCGGUGAAAUGCGUAGAUAUUAGGAGGAACACCAGUGGCGAAGGCGACUUCCUGGACUGUAACUGACGCUCAGGCGCGUAAGCUAGGGGAGCAAACAGGAUUAGAGACCCUGGUAGUCCUAGCCGUAAACGAUGGGUACUAGGUGUUGGGGGUGACAAUCCCCCAGUGCCGCAGUUAACGCAGUAAGUACCCCGCCUGGGGACUACGGCCGCAAGGCUGAA